rnacentral:rRNA from 1 species
UACGAAGGGUGCUAGCGUUGUUCGGAUUUACUGGGCGUAAAGCGCACGCAGGCGGCCAUUCAAGUCAGAGGUGAAAUCCCAGGGCUCAACCCUGGAACUGCCUUUGAAACUGGAUGGCUAGAGGAUGAGAGGGGAGUGUGGAAUUCCUAGUGUAGAGGUGAAAUUCGUAGAUAUUAGGAGGAACACCAGUGGCGAAGGCGACACUCUGGCUCAUUUCUGACGCUCAUGUGCGAAAGCGUGGGGAGCAAACAGG